rnacentral:lncRNA from 1 species
UAGGAAUAUUCUAUUUUAGAACUUGAUAGUUUUGAGUAUAACUGUUUGAGAAUAAAGAAUAUUAUUUUAACAGUGAUUAAAAUUGUGGUUUUACUCACUCUUUCUUUUUAAAGAUACUCCUGGGCAUGGAAGUGGAUGGGCUGAGACUCCUCGAACAGAUCGAGGUGGAGAUUCUAUUGGUGAAACACCGACUCCUGGAGCCAGUAAAAGAAAAUCACGGUGGGAUGAAACACCAGCUAGUCAGAUGGGUGGAAGCACUCCAGUUCUGACCCCUGGAAAGACACCAAUUGGCACACCAGCCAUGAACAUGGCUACCCCUACUCCAGGUCACAUAAUGAGUAUGACUCCUGAACAGCUUCAGGCUUGGCGGUGGGAAAGAGAAAUUGAUGAGAGAAAUCGCCCACUUUCUGAUGAGGAAUUAGAUGCUAUGUUCCCAGAAGGAUAUAAGGUAGUACAUCAAAUUUGAAUGAGGUGGUAUUUAGGAUAUACAUUUAUUUUAAAUAGUGAAAA